UCUGCGCCCCGGCCUGAGUGGAGCUCUUUUUGUUCUCGCGAGGAAAGCUUCGGCACAAAAAAGCGGGAACGGAGGACGGAUAAAGGC
rnacentral:misc_RNA from 1 species